rnacentral:rRNA from 1 species
UACGUAGGGUGCAAGCGUUUAAUCGGAAUUACUGGGCGUAAAGCGUGCGCAGGCGGUUCGCUAAGACAGAUGUGAAAUCCCCGGGCUUAACCUGGGAACUGCCAUUUGUGACUGGCGGGCUAGAGUAUGGCAGAGGGGGGUAGAAUUCCACGGUGUAGCAGUGAAAUGCGUAGAGAUGUGGAGGAAUACCGAUGGCGAAGGCAGCCCCCUGGGCCAAUACUGGACGCUCCAUGCACGAAAGCGUGGGGAGCAAACAGG